rnacentral:lncRNA from 1 species
GAAGCCUCUAUGAAGUUGAAAUUGAUGCCCCACAACUAGAUGUUCUUGAAAUAGAAGAAUCGGUUUUUGUGAAGUUUAAGAUUGGAAACUUCAAGCAUCUCCGAGAAGCAAGGUUUCAAAGUGGCUUCUACGAAGCAAAGAGGCAACUAGGAGAAGUGGGAGAACUUCUCGUUCUUUUGCGAGAAAUAUUUUCUACGAUUAACACAACAUCAAUAGAAACUAAAUCAUACCUUGAAAGCACCAUCUCCGACAACCAAGCAGCUAGUAGAUAUUGACGUUGUGUUAAUCGUAGAAAAUAUUUCUCGCAGAAGAAUGAUUAGUUCGCCCACUUCUCCUAGUUGCCUCUUUGCUUCGUAGAAGCCACUUUGAAGCCUUGCUUCUCGGAGAUGCUUGAAGUUUCCAAUCUUAAACUUCGCAAAAAUCGAUUCUUCAAUUUCAAGAACAUCUAUUGUGGGGCAUCGAUUUCAACUUCAUAGAGGCUUCCAGCAGCAAGGUACACUUCUUGUCCUCUAUCAAGCUGUAGCUUAUGAAGAUGCAGUUUAAUUUUUAGUCACUUUUUUUAGCAGAUUUUUCUGGUUGGUUGUUCAUGCCAUACUUGCUCGCACACCUUCCUAAUUUACAGAGAUUGGAUCUCGAAUUGGUAGAUAGGGAAGAUGUUCGAAAGGGCAAGAAAUUGGAAUCCCCCAAAAUAUAAUGUGGGAUGGUGUUUGACAAGCGUUAAACGUGUUCGAUUGAUUGGAUUUGGUGAAAUGAUGGAAGAAGAUUGAUUGGAUUUGGUGAAAUGAUGGAAGAAGCCGGUCUAAUAUUAGCUUUUGUGAGGGAGACUGCUACCGAAGAACACUUUGGAAAAAUAACCAUUACCACAUGCAAUUCCAAUGUAUAGAAGAUGAUGCAGACUUGAUUUACACGGCCUAAGAAAGUACACAAGAGAACUGAUCAUGAGGAAACACAAAUCUAUAUUGACUGUACCAGUAUUUUAGACAAAUGGCACGGUUGACAACUCUCACAUCAUUGAGGUGGUAC